rnacentral:rRNA from 1 species
UACGUAGGGUGCAAGCGUUAAUCGGAAUUACUGGGCGUAAAGCGUGCGCAGGCGGUUUUGUAAGUCUGUCGUGAAAUCCCCGGGCUCAACCUGGGAAUUGCGAUGGAGACUGCAAGGCUAGAAUCUGGCAGAGGGGGGUAGAAUUCCACGUGUAGCAGUGAAAUGCGUAGAGAUGUGGAGGAACACCGAUGGCGAAGGCAGCCCCCUGGGUCAAGAUUGACGCUCAUGCACGAAAGCGUGGGGAGCAAACGGG